AUGGGGACAGUUCCUGCAAUUUACAGAAAAGCUCUCAAUUGUAGCCCUACGAACUUCAGAUACUGCCGAUGGUGAAGCUUGGGUGCACCGGGCCGGUUUUCCAGCCGUGUGGAAUCAACAUCUCCAGCUGAACUGGGGCCGGGAAUUAUAUAAGACUCCUUAGCAGCAUGAGUGCCAGCCAGUCAUUGCUGUUCUUUGCAUUGCUGAGGAGGACAGUCCUGCCAACAUAACAGUUUGUUCAAUAACAGGAGACAAACAGAAACACAGAGGUGCUAUACAUUCUGAUGGAAAAACAAAAGCAUCUCCCAUCAUUUUGGCGUGGCUCAGAUCAAGAGGAGAAUUUUAAG